UACGUAGGGGGCUAGCGUUGUCCGGAAUCAUUGGGCGUAAAGCGCGCGUAGGCGGCCAGAUAAGUCCGGUGUGAAAGUCAAAGGCUCAACCUUUGGAUGCCGCUGGAAACUGUCUGGCUUGAGUCCGGAAGGGGCGAGUGGAAUUCCCAGUGUAGCGGUGAAAUGCGUAGAUAUUGGGAGGAACACCAGUGGCGAAGGCGGUCCCCUGGGCCGGAACUGACGCUGAGGCGGCGAAAGCGUGGGGAGCAAACGGG
rnacentral:rRNA from 1 species